rnacentral:rRNA from 1 species
UACAGAGGUCUCAAGCGUUGUUCGGAUUCAUUGGGCGUAAAGGGUGCGUAGGUGGCGCGCUAAGUCAGGUGUGAAAUUUCGGAGCUUAACUCCGAAACUGCAUUUGAUACUGGCGUGCUUGAGGACUGGAGAGGAGACUGGAAUUCAUGGUGUAGCAGUGAAAUGCGUAGAGAUCAUGAGGAAGACCAGUGGCGAAGGCGGGUCUCUGGACAGUUCCUGACACUGAGACACGAAGGCCAGGGGAGCAAAACGGGG